AACGAACGCUGGCGGCAUGCCUAACACAUGCAAGUCGAACGAGACCUUCGGGUCUAGUGGCGCACGGGUGCGUAACGCGUGGGAACCUGCCCUUAGGUUCGGAAUAACUCCCCGAAAGGGGUGCUAAUACCGGAUAAUGUCUUCGGACCAAAGAUUUAUCGCCUUUGGAUGGGCCCGCGUUGGAUUAGCUAGUUGGUAGGGUAAAAGCCUACCAAGGCGACGAUCCAUAGCUGGUCUGAGAGGAUGAUCAGCCACACUGGGACUGAGACACGGCCCAGACUCCUACGGGAGGCAGCAGUGGGGAAUAUUGGACCAUGGGCGCAAGCCUGAUCCAGCAAUGCCGCGUGAGUGAUGAAGGCCUUAGGGUUGUAAAGCUCUUUUACCCGGGAUGAUAAUGACAGUACCGGGAGAAUAAGCUCCGGCUAACUCCGUG
rnacentral:rRNA from 1 species